AGUUUCAGAUUGGUGACAACUUCUACUAUAUAUUUGAUAUCGAUAGAUUGUCUAGAAAAGUAAACAAGCAAGUAGAAGACACAGGUAUUAGGAAGAUACGACUUGAUACCGAGGUAGAGUUUGUCCAGCAGGAAGUACGUCAACCGAGAGUUCUGAAAACUGCCGAUCCAGAAUGGUAUAAACUAUGGCACUUGAAUGGUGAAAUCUCACCUUCAAUGCAGAUAAAUGAAGCUUGGAAUUCUGGUUACACCGGACGUGGUAUAAAGAUUGCUAUCCUCGACGAUGGUUUACAGACUGAUCAUCUAGAUCUUGUUUCA